AGUUUGAUCCUGGCUCAGAUUGAACGCUGGCGGCAUGCUUUACACAUGCAAGUCGAACGGCAGCACGAGUGCUUUGCACUUGGUGGCGAGUGGCGAACGGGUGAGUAAUACAUCGGAACGUGUCUUAAAGUGGGGGAUAACGCAUCGAAAGAUGUGCUAAUACCGCAUAAUCUCUAAGGAGAAAAGUAGGGGAUCGAAAGACCUUACGCNUUUGGAGCGGCCGAUGUCUGAUUAGCUAGUUGGUAGGGUAAAGGCUUACCAAGGCAACGAUCAGUAGUUGGUCUGAGAGGAUGGCCAACCACACUGGGACUGAGACACGGCCCAGACUCCUACGGGAGGCAGCAG
rnacentral:rRNA from 1 species